GACGAACGCUGGCGGCGUGCUUAACACAUGCAAGUCGAACGGAAAGGCCCUGCUUUUGUGGGGUGCUCGAGUGGCGAACGGGUGAGUAACACGUGAGUAACCUGCCCUUGACUUUGGGAUAACUUCAGGAAACUGGGGCUAAUACCGGAUAGGAGCUCCUGCUGCAUGGUGGGGGUUGGAAAGUUUCGGCGGUUGGGGAUGGGCUCGCGGCUUAUCAGCUUGUUGGUGGGGUAGUGGCUUACCAAGGCUUUGACGGGUAGCCGGCCUGAGAGGGUGACCGGCCACAUUGGGUCUGAGAUACGGCCCAGACUCCUACGGGAGGCAGCAGUGGGGAAUAUUGCACAAUGGGCGGAAGCCUGAUGCAGCAACGCCGCGUGCGGGAUGACGGCCUUCGGGUUGUAAACCGCUUUCGCCUGUGACGAAGCGUGAGUGACGGUAAUGGGUAAAGAAGCACCGGCUAACUACGUG
rnacentral:rRNA from 1 species